rnacentral:rRNA from 1 species
CGAGCACGCGCGUGUGGCAUAUCAAUAAGCGGAGGAAAAGAAACUAACAAGGAUUCCCUUAGUAACGGCGAGUGAAGCGGGAAGAGCUCAAAUUUGAAAUCUUCAAGGUUCUACCUUGACGAAUUGUAGUUUAUAGAAGUGUUUUCUGUUAGUGGAGUGGCAAAAGUUCUUUGGAAUAGGACAUCAUAGAGGGUGAGAAUCCCGUAUUUGGUCAUUCCUCCUAGCGUUGUGAUACACUUUCAACGAGUCGGAUUGUUUGGGAAUGCAGUCCAAAAUGGGUGGUAAAUUUCAUCUAAAGCUAAAUAUUGGCGAGAGACCGAUAGCGAACAAGUACCGUGAGGGAAAGAUGAAAAGAACCUUGAAAAGAGAGUUAAACAGUACGUGAAAUUGUCAAAAGGGAAGCGUUUGACACCAGUGUUGUUUUUCCGAAAAUCAAUUACGAAUGUUUUGUUUUUGAGGAGUUAUGACUUCAUCGGCUUGCUCCUUUCUUUACGAAACUUUCUUAAUGCACUUCUCGGUUAACAAGUCAACAUCAAUUUCCUCUUGUUGUAAAAGGGUAUGAGGAAGGUGGCUUUCUUUUCGGAGAAAGUGUUUAUAGCCUUGUGCCUCUAGCAAUCGGAGAGAUUGAGGUCUGCAGCGUAGAUCCUUCGGGGUUAGAUACGUUUGUGCUAAGUUAUAGCUUUUCAUAGACAACUUGUUGACUAUGUUUAGUCUUGUAGCUUACUCGCUGACGCUAUUUUACCUACGCUUAGGAUGUUGAGUAGCGACAUACGCA